UUACAUAAGGUACUGUAUGUAGAUUGAACUC
rnacentral:piRNA from 1 species